rnacentral:lncRNA from 1 species
GUCCGCUGGUCGUGGAGCUGUCAGCGGGCUCCAAACCGCCGCCGAGCGCCGAGGAGGAAGAGGCUGGGGAGGCCGGGCUGCGGCCGCCGAGUCCGCAUGCGCGGGCCCUAGAGCCCUUCUGGGCCGGCCUCGCGGGCUGGCUUGGCAGGGGCGGCGGGUUCCUGGAGCGAGCCCAGAUUCCUUCGGGUAGUGUUGGGGGAUAAGGCGCCGCCGCCUGGGCUGGUAAGGCCAGAGAGUCUCAGGAAGUCUCCAGGGACGUCCGAGAGAGAUGACUGGACUUCUUGAAUGAAAUGGGGGAAGAAACCCAAAUAGCCACUCCGUGGGUGAAAAGGGGAAAAAAAAAGUUUAUUCCAAACUGCGAAGGCUGUCUCUCGGGAAAGCAGAGAGAAGCGCUGCGCGGGCUGGGGUGAUGGUGGGGAUUUAUCUUCUGGGUUAUAUGGGACCUUGACGGGCUAAUAGACCCCACUGUCAUAAGUUAAUGGAAGAGCCAAAUGUCCCUUUUCCCAGAGAUAGGAGAAUAACUCCACUUAGCAAGUAGGAACUAUCUUCACCACCACCACCACCCCGAGGGAAUGCUGGCUUUUGUCUAGAUGCCCUACCUGGGGGAAAGGAAUUUCUUGGGGGACCUGACACUAUUGAGGUCUGCUAGUGGAUCAGAGAUGCAAGAGCCAUUCUACCAAGUCUCACAGUUGGUCUGGGUGGCUCUCUUAAAAUCCGCAGUCCUCUCAGUCUCGCCAAAGAAACUUCCAGAAUCACUUUUUUUUUUAGGUUGGCUUAAUGGUUUCUGGGGCUAUUUCCUGCCCUAGACUAAGUAUCUAUUGAUGCAUCCUUAAAAUGCUUCCAGUGCCUUUAGCUCACCCUACAUAACAAAGUCCCUACCCAUUACUUGCUCAGUCUUCAGUAUUAGCCCUCUGCUUUCCCAAGCAAUGACCUUAGUUUGGAAUAAACUUUUCUCUUAUACACCCA